rnacentral:lncRNA from 1 species
AGAGGAGGGUGGGGUGGAGGGUGGGCAGGUUCCCUGACCCUGUACACAGCACUGAGGCAGGCCUCUCUGUCGCCCAGCCCCCAGCUCCCAGCCUGCAGCCGGGUACCUGACUCGGAGGGUUCCGCAGAGCAGGCAGGCUGACCGCAGGGCCUCAUAGCGCCUUAGUCUCUUAGGGAUGCUGCGACCAAUGACGGCAAAUGGCGAGGCCUCCUGGGGUCAGGCCAAAACCAGCCUCCCUGCCGAAAUCAAGGUGUCGAUGGGGCUCUGCUCCUCUGGAGGCCCCAGGAGAGUCGGUUCCCUGCUUCACCCCUUGCCGUGGCUGCCGACACCCCUUGGCUUGUGGCUGCGUCACUCCAGUCUCUGCCUCUGUCGCCACACUGCUCUCUCCUCCUCUGUGUCAAAUCUCCUUCUCAUGAGGAUGCGAGUGACUGCACUUAGGGCCCACCUGGGAUAAUCUGGGAUUGCCCCCAUCUCAACAUCCUCAACCAAAUCUUCAAGAUCCUUUCCUGCCACAUGGAGUCAGCCACAGAUUCCAGGGUUGAGGUCCUGAUACCCUUGGGGCAUGUUGGACCCACUGUGCUAGGUGAGGACGGAAACGAGGCAGCCCAGGUGACAGGCAGUGGUGAUGGGGGCACUGUCUAGGGGCGCCCUUGGAGGGCCUGCUCAUGUCUCCCUCCAUUCCCAAAGUGGGGUCCCUCAAACCCACACAAAAGGGAGGUAGAAUGGGAGGAAGAGUGGAGCAACCAGGGAGUUUGGGCCCCCAGGUGGUGCUGGCAGCCCACGGCCCCAGAUGGGGAGGAUUUGAACCCACGAACAUCAGAGCCACGAGGCCUCCAAGGAGGGGAUACAGGACCCAGUCACGUCGGGACUUUGGAUAUAUAUCAAAUAAUUGUUUACUGUAAAAUAUUUGGGGCAUAUUUACACAAAAAUGGUACUCCUUAUUUAUCUAAAAUUCUGAUCUGACUGGGUGUCCUGUGUUUUAUCUGGUGGCCCUACCCAAGGACACAGGUGUUCCUGAUGGACCCUGGCCCAUCCUGGGCCUCUGUGGGGCCACAUAGAUGGGAGGGGCCUAGUGGGACCUGCAGGGCCUGUCUGGAAGGAAGUUGUCCUUUCACACGUGACCUGGCUAGAACUGGGGCCAAAUGGGAGAAAUUUGCCAGCCUGAGAUGGGACAAAAGUGAAAAACAGCCCCCAGCUGGAGUUGCAGGAAUCCCCCUUGGGUGGUCCCUGAGGUGCUCAGGGGUCCCCUCACCCCCAUGUCCCAGUUGCAGUUGCUAACUCUGGAUGACUCUGGCAGCCUUGGUCACCAGGCACUGCUGGUGGGGGGCAAGCCCAGCCUGCCUGCCAUGGUCUGUGCUGGGGCCACAGGGCCCCCUCCAGGUGGGUGUGUUUCUGGGGUGGGGAGGAGCACAGGGAGGGCAGAGAGAUGGGAGCACUCCCUGUUCCCACUGGGGUCCCCAGCAGAUGAGAGUCCUGGCCGUGGUAGCCUGGAGGGUGGGUCUCCUGGGAGGGUCUCUGACCUCGGCUCCCCUUCUGGGGUAAUGAAGGCAGGCCCAAGUCCUUGGGUCUGAUGCCUGGCAGGGCUCCGGGCCUUGCUGCGCCCCUCGUGCUCAGGUGGGGGGCUGUGGGGUGGGGACCGGCAGUGGCUGGAGGAGGCCAGGAUCUGGGACUGGGCUCCUGGUGUCCAUCGUGGGUGGGGGCAGCACCCACAGGGUGCCAGGAUUGCCCUGCUGGAUGCCGGACAGGGGAUACCCUGUGUCCAGCCCACUGUCAGCUCUGGGGAGGGCAGGGGCUUGGCCAAAGCCGCCCUGGGGUCCCCAGCCCUCGGUCUCUGGGGAGUUCUGGUGCCACCCACACCGAGGGCAGAGGAGCUUCUGGCAGGUGAGAGACCCACCGAGGGCAGGAGGAGCUUCUGGCGGGUGAGAGACCCAGGGAAGCAAGCUGUGCUCGUUAAUCAGGAAGGGGGGCUGGGGGGACACCAGGCAGAGCUCUGCGUUGCCUCCAGGACAGUAAUGCUCAGAGCUUUCGUGUUAGGACCCUUGCACAGUGUUAAAUGUCAGGGAGGUUGCAUCUGCCACUGUUUAGUAUGCUAGAAACUAAACGUGUGGAUAUUUAAGACACGAGAAAGCAGGGGAGUGUCACACCUCUUAUGGCCUCUGAGAACUCCACUGUCCAAGCCAGGACGGGAGAGAGAAGCCUUGGCAUUAUUGUGAAAACAGAUUUUGACCUUGGGGCUUUCUCGAAGGUUCUCGGGAGCCCCGGGGGGCCUGGACCGUGCUUUGUGAACCGAGGCUUUAGGCGGCGGAGCAGUGGGGAAGGCGAGGGGUGGGGUCCCAGCUCUGGCACCUGAGGCCAGGCAAUGGGGCCAGAGACGCCGCGGUGCCCCUUCUCCAUCGGUGAAAGGGGGUUGUGUGGCACCUGCCCUGAGGGUCGGGCCAGGAUGAAAGGA